AUUGAACGCUGGCGGCAGGCCUAACACAUGCAAGUCGAGCGAGAGGCGGACGGGUGAGUGAUGUGUGGGGAACUGCCUGCGGGAGGGGGGUAACUACUGGAAACGGGAGCUAAUACAGCAUACCAUCAGGGGUGCACAGAUGGGAUUAGCUCGUAGGUGGGGUAACGGCUCACCUAGGCGACGAUCCCUAGCUGGUCUGAGAGGAUGACCAGCCACACUGGAACGGAGACACGGUCCAGACUCCUACGGGAGGCAGCAGUGGGGAAUAUUGCACAAUGGGCGCAAGCCUGAUGCAGCCAUGCCGCGUGUGUGAAGAAGGCCUUCGGGUUGUAAAGCACUUUCAGCGGGGAGGCGUUACCCGCAGAAGAAGCACCGGCUAACUCCGUGCCAGCAGCCGCGGUAAUUC
rnacentral:rRNA from 1 species